GACGAAUGCUGGCUGCGUGCUUAACACAUGCAAGUCGAACGGUGAACCAGGGCUUGCCCUGGGGAUCAGUGGCGAACGGGUGAGUAACACGUGGGCAACCUGCCCCUCACUCUGGGAUAACUCCGGGAAACCGGGGCUAAUACCGGAUACGACCUCAUGCGACAUCUCGUGAGGUGGAAAGAACUUCGGUGAGGGAUGGGCCCGCGGCCUAUCAGCUAGUUGGUGGGGUAACGGCCCACCAAGGCGACGACGGGUAGCCGGCCUGAGAGGGCGACCGGCCACACUGGGACUGAGACACGGCCCAGACUCCUACGGGAGGCAGCAGUGGGGAAUAUUGCGCAAUGGGCGAAAGCCUGACGCAGCGACGCAGCGUGAGGGAUGAAGGCCUUCGGGUUGUAAACCUCUUUCAGCGGGGGCGAAGCGAAAGUGACGGUACCCGCAGAAGAAGCACCGGCUAACUACGUGCCAGCCGCCGCAGUAACAC
rnacentral:rRNA from 1 species